rnacentral:tRNA from 1 species
GCGCUCGUCGUCCAGCGGCAAGGACCACCGCCCUACAAGCGGCUGAUCGCAGGUUCGAGUCCUGCCGAGCGCA